UACAGAGGUGGCAAGCGUUGUUCGGAAUUAUUGGGCGUAAAGAGCUCGUAGGCGGUCCGUUAAGUCGGAAGUGAAAUCUCAAGGCUCAACCUUGAAAUCGCUUUCGAUACUGGCGGACUUGAGGCAGGUAGGGGAAGGUGGAAUUCCUGGUGUAGCGGUGAAAUGCGCAGAUAUCAGGAGGAACACCAACGGCGAAGGCAGCACUCUGGGCCGGUACUGACGCUGAGGAGCGAAAGCGUGGGGAGCAAACAGG
rnacentral:rRNA from 1 species